rnacentral:rRNA from 1 species
GGGAAGCGAGCAUGUGAAUGUGAGCAAAUCCCAAAAAUAACGUCUCAGUUCGGAUUGUAGUCUGCAACUCGACUACAUGAAGCUGGAAUCGCUAGUAAUCGCGAAUCAGAAUGUCGCGGUGAAUACGUUCCCGGGUCUUGUACACACCGCCCGUCACACCAUGGGAGUUGGUAACGCCCGAAGUCAGUGACCCAACCUUAGGGAGGGAGCUGCCGAAGGCGGGACUGAUAACUGGGGUGAAGUCGUAACAAGGUAAC